rnacentral:rRNA from 1 species
UACGGGGGGGGCAAGCGUUGUUCGGAAUUACUGGGCGUAAAGCGUGCGCAGGCGGCUUCUCAAGUCAGGGGUGAAAGCCCAGAGCUCAACUCUGGAAUUGCCUUUGAGACUGAGUGGCUUGAGUACGAGAGAGGUGAGUGGAAUUCCUAGUGUAGAGGUGAAAUUCGUAGAUAUUGGGAAGAACACCGGUGGCGAAGGCGGCUCACUGGCUCGUAACUGACGCUCAUGCACGACAGCGUGGGGAUCAAACAGG